rnacentral:lncRNA from 1 species
CUGUCGAGUGAUGGAGGUUUCCAGCUGGCUGGACCUCAGAGAUCGCUGCGUUCAACAUCCUGUCUCCACAGAGGAGACACAAGGACACUGAGAUAGGCUGUGGCUUCCCCGAGGUCACACGGCUGGGCAGGGUCCUGGGUCCGGUCCAGGGAUAUUUCCUCGCCUCCUUUAAGUGUAAUCUCUUUGUGUGCUACUGUCCAAAUUGUUUAUUCUGCAAGUGUUUUACUCUGCAAAGGCUGCUUUGGACCCGUGGACCGACAGGGAUGCUGGCAGAGAGACCGGCAGGGGGAAGCGUGCUUCUACACAGUGGUGAUGGGAGGUCACCCUGCAGCCAGGGGUACUCGGGGAGAGUUCAGUGGCAGAGGACAGACAGAGGCUUCACACUGGAGAUUUUGAAGAAGGAAAAUGGUGCUUGGCUCCCGUUAAUUCCACUCCCCUGGUUUGCAACAAAGGAGACGCUGGCUCACAAACUAAGGAGGGAAAGGGGGACCAUCAGGGCUUACCAAGCCGAACUGCCACUCCAGGGUAAGUCAGCCCAGGGUCCCCUUAAAGGGGAAUGUGGGUAGGCUGCUUUGAUGGGAUUGUGGGCAGGAAGUAAUAAUUUGAGGGAGGAAAGAGAAGACACCCUAGGUACCGUCUUUAAGGCUGUGAGAUCACGGGCUCGUAGACCUCAGAGCUGAGUCACCUCCGAGGCCAUCUGCCCAUUCACGUAUCCUGUGCAAGACUCUACUCAGUCAGCCUUCUUUGAAGAAUUCCAUGUACCCACGUACAAGAGAGAGCCUCUCCUUUCGGAUUAUCCCUUCUAUUUGGGGGGGCUCUAAUUGUUAAAACGUUCAUGGUUAUAUGGUAUCAGAAUGGGCCCCACUGUAUCUACAAGCCGUUAUUCUAAUCCUUCCAUAUGAUCCUCGGAAGUCUGAUGAUUACACCUUUGUAACACAUUUGAGAGUCUAUGCCUGCUUGGGGUGGGGGAGGACGGUGGAGGGGGAGCUCCCACACCAUCCAGUUGUAUAACCUUGGCAAUUACAGAUAACCAGCAAGCAAGCCAGUGAUUUAUUCAGUUAAAGGUUAUCAAAGACUAAAUCUAAAAAUCGUAUUUUCAUUUCAUAAGUCUAUUUGAAUUUAUAAAUCCUGAAUUUUGCAGCAAGGAAACAAGCUCAGCCAACUUUCAAAUGCUACCAUUGGAAAUAUUACAAUAACUCUGAAGUUUCUGCCAAGACAUACUGCCACCUUCGGUGAUGACGGUCAUUCCGUCACCAAGCCCAGGACCUUGGCGCUUCCUAUGCCUCCCUCUCUUCCACCAGGGUCGAGUUUGCUAGAUGCUGAGACCCUGCCCUAGCUUCCUUCCACCUCACCAUGGCCUCCAACCACUCCCCCGGUCCAGGCUUUGCUCCCCACAGCACAGAGUCCCAAUGCCCAAGCUGCCAGGUUGGCAUCAUCAGGCCAGGGGCCCUCACCAGCCUGCCCUGCGCCUUAGUGGCAGUCUGGCGGCAGCCAUCCUCCUGCACUGGUGGUGCCCUGAGAUUCUCUUCUCUAUUUCAGGGUGAGUCCCUCCAAGGGCCGCCUCCC